AUCGAACGCUGGCGGCAUGCCUAACACAUGCAAGUCGAACGAGACCUUCGGGUCUAGUGGCGCACGGGUGCGUAACGCGUGGGAAUCUGCCCUUGGGUCCGGAAUAACAGUUAGAAAUGACUGCUAAUACCGGAUGAUGUCUUCGGACCAAAGAUUUAUCGCCCAAGGAUGAGCCCGCGUAAGAUUAGCUUGUUGGUGAGGUAAAAGCUCACCAAGGCGACGAUCUUUGGCUGGUCUGAGAGGAUGAUCAGCCACACUGGGACUGAGACACGGCCCAGACUCCUACGGGAGGCAGCAGUGGGGAAUAUUGGACAAUGGGCGAAAGCCUGAUCCAGCAAUGCCGCGUGAGUGAUGAAGGCCUUAGGGUUGUAAAGCUCUUUUACCCGGGAUGAUAAUGACAGUACCGGGAGAAUAAGCCCCGGCUAACUCCGUGCCAGCCGCCGCCGUAACAC
rnacentral:rRNA from 1 species